AGCGCCGCAACAUGACCCUCCCUCCACAAUUUGAUCAUUUUCUAAAAAGAUCUAAGACAAAAGCAACGGCUGAGAAUGAAAAUGAGACCUCGACGAGCUUCUUCUUCAUGAAGCUCUAAGAGCUAACGCCUAUAGAGAAAAGGAGAUCCACUGUUGUUGAUGAUACACAGACCCCUCCCCUCUCCUUCAUCUUCAUCAACAGCUAGAGGACUUAACAAAAAAACCUAGAAGAAUCCAUCGACAGACCUAAGUAGUGAAAUCACUGCUGCAGCUGUUGACCCCUCCACCACUCUCACACCGUGAACAACACACAACACACAAGCAACCACCCCCAAAUCUUCCGCCACCAACUGACCGAUAUCCAGUAGAAACAGUGACAAGCUCGCCGGAAAACGAGUUGAAAAGACAACCAGCGGCUGCUUAUCCACCUCGUCGAUUAACAACCUUUCAGCCUUUCCUUCUUCUUUGAACCCAGAUACACACAACCAUCUUCAUAUUCUUCUACACACCAAACUCGGCAAAAACUUUGAGUAGAAACUGAUAUGAGUGUGAUCUGAAUGGUUGUUCGAGGUUCCGUCGCGUUCGUGUCCCUGUUGGCAUCUUUGUUCGCUGCUCAAUUCUUUGGUCAGAUUCUCGUUUGCUUCUCGGCUGAAUAGAAAUGUAAACUCAGAACUCCAUUAAUCAGAAAGUUAUAGCUCUUUGAGGUCCAUGCUUUCUUAUCCUUUGUUUCAGUUUCACAGCAAAAAUGUCUCUGCCUGCUUUCAUGUUUUUUUUUAAUUGAUGAAUAUGCUUGGUUUCCUUUAUUAGCUUAAUGCACUUAAAUGAUAGAAUUGGAAUAUUGGAUCAUCUGCUUGUUUGAAUUAUUUUAAAGAAUUUUUUUAAUUAAUAUCCUUGGGUUAACAUUGAUAUGGUGCUAGGUUCCUUGAUAUACGGAAUAGGUGUGCACUUUGGAUUGAUUUAAGUAGUUAAGAGAUUAAUGGAAAUCAGUUAAAGUUUACAUUCUUCUGUUGUUGGAGUGUUGGGACAUGAGAAUUGAUUCAAAAAGUAGAUUUGGAAUUUUUGACGGAACUUUGCUGUAUUAAUCUUAGAAAAACUUUUCGUGCUCGCAUUCUUGUUUGUUUAACUGUCCUCGUUGCAUGCUUUAGGCUUGAUUAACAAUAAAUAAAUCGUAACUACAGGUACGGUUCCCGUAGCGUAGUUGUGACAUCUACUUACUUUUAAAUAUGAAUAUCCAUAGUUCUUUUAAUUGAAUGCAUUUCCUUUGAAAGAAAUUGAGGCGCACCAUUCACACAAUUGAAUCAUUUAACCCAUGUCCCUCGUGUUAAUUUCAUAGCCUAGAUAUAAAAAUGACAAAUGUUCGUAGUUUGUUUUAGGCACGUUAAUAUACUAUUGUGGUUGUGGACACGUUCGCGUGACAUGAUUACGGUUUCUAAAAACAAAACUGGAAUAUAUGUUCGUGCAACUUCAGCCGCACUUUCUUAAUAAUAAUAAAGCAUUACUAAUUGUGGACAUGUUCGCGUGACAUGAUUUUUGACGCGCCAUUUAAAUGAGUACACGUACGUGUGACUCGUUUCAAGAUAAUUUCUCAAUUAAAAAAGGCAAAUGCACAUAGGUUCUAAAGUAAGUAAUUAGACAAUUUAAUAAGCCAAAUAUGAUCAAAGCGACAGUACUAGAACCACAAAACUCGGGAAUGCCUAACACCUUCUCCCGAGUUAACAGAAUUCCUUACCCGAAUUUCUAUGUUCGCAGACCGUAAAUAAGAGUUAACUUCCUCGAUUCGAAAUUUUAAACUGGUGACUUGGGACACUAUAAAUUAUCACAAGUGGCGACUCUGAUUUUAAUAAAAUAAUUCCGUUUCGAUUGUCACUUAAAUUAGAAAAAACUCCCUUAUACUCCUUCCGGGGGUAGAAAAAGGAGGUGUGACAGUUGGGUCCGUAGAAAAAUAUGGAACUUGGGCGUAUGCCCGGAAUUGAAUUCCGAGGUCUCUAGCCCGAGAAAUGAAUUUUUGACGAAAAUUAUUUAACUGAAAAUAUAAUGGUUUUUAAAAAUUUAAUAAUGUUUGAAUUUGAUGGUAUCGGGUCCGUAUCUUGGUUCCGGAGCCCGGUACAGGUUUAAUAUUGUAUUUAAGUUAUGUUUGUAAAAUUUGGUAAGAGACAGAGUUUAUAUGACGUGAUUCGGAACCUCGGUUGUGAAAAUAUAAACUUUAAAGAGUUCUUGAGAUUUUCACUGAUUUUGAUGCUAAAUUCGCUGUUUGAGACGUUAUUUUGGCGAUUUGAUCGCACGAACAAGUCCGAGAGCUCGGGUGAAUUUUGGAUAGGCCACUGAGUGUUUUGAACCUUAUGGAAAAAUUGAUGGUAUUGCAGGUCUGCAAACUUCGCAUUUGCAAAGUUUAUAGUCGCAAAUGCGAUAAGAGCACAGGCCACAAUUGCGAACAUUGGUUUGCAUUUGUGAAGGCAGCAGGUCAGGCCAAUCUUCGCAUUUGCGAAGCAUUGGUCGCAUUUGCGAAUUCGCAAUUGCGAACUUGUGAUCGCAAAUGCGAUACAUGCAACUGCUCAAAAACAGAUUUUGACGGGAUUUCAACUCAUUCUUUCAAAUUUUCAAACUCUAAACUCCCAUAUGCGAUUUUCCAAUGAAAAGUUCUUUACCAAAUCAUAGGAAAACAAUUUCUAACUCAUUUCUUUCAAUCUGCUUCAUCAAUUUACAAGAUUUCAUCACAAAAUCUAGGGAUUUUCAUGGGAAAUUGGGUGUUUUUGAGUGAAAUUGAAAAUUUUGAAAUUUGGGGAUUUGGACCUCAAAUUAAGGUCGAAUUCUAAAACCAAUUAUAUAUCAGGGCUCAGGGGUAAAUGGGUAAUCAGGUUUUGGUCCGAACUUCGGGUUUUGACCAAGCGGGCUCGGGGUCGAUUUUUGACUUCUUGGGAAAAAUGUUGAGAAACAUAUAAUUAAGCAUUGAAUUUGAGUUCUUUAGCAUUUAUUGAUGUUAUUAAGUUAAUUAUGACUAGAUAUAAGUGAAUUGGAGGUGAAAUCUAGAGGGAAAGCAAUAUUUGAAGCUUGAUUUUGGCCGUGGAAUAGAGGUAAGUGUUUGGCCUAACCUAAACUUGAGGGAAUAGACGUUGUUGUCUUAUUUGCUACGCGUUAGUGUUGAGUACGACGUAUAGGUGUGAUGACGAGUAUCUACACGUUGGUGUCGAGCAUGCCCAUGAGUCUUAUACUGUGACUGUUGUGACUCUUAUUAUAUACUGUCCAUGCUUAAAUUGAUGAUUAUCCAUGUUGAACAAGACUUAUGAUAAUUUCUUGGUAAUUGACAAUUUUUGAGUAUUAACUCAAGUUAGAGAUUUAUUUUGUGAAGUUAACUGCUGGAACGAGAUUGGUUAUAGCUGAUUCCCUUGCCAUGAUGUAUUUGUUUCAAUUGUUGAUUCCUUUGUCGGGAUGUUGUUGUUUCUACUUUGUUUCAAUUGUUGAUUCCUUUGUCGGGAUGUUGUUGUUUCUACUGUUUGGGUGAGGAAAGAGUGAUAAAGCACGAAGGGUAAUACCAACUCUUUCCUUGAAAUACUUGUCUAGUUACUUCUACUGACGAAUUUCGUGGAACAACAGGCAAAUAGAAGCAAAGACAUAUUGACACUCCAA
rnacentral:lncRNA from 1 species